UUCCACUCCUACUGCAUACAAUC
rnacentral:siRNA from 1 species